rnacentral:rRNA from 1 species
GAUGAACGCUAGCGGGAGGCCUAACACAUGCAAGCCGAGCGGUAGAGAUUCUUCGGAAUCUUGAGAGCGGCGUACGGGUGCGGAACACGUGUGCAACCUACCUUUAUCUGGAGGAUAGCCUUUCGAAAGGAAGAUUAAUACUCCAUAAUAUAUUGAUUGGCAUCAAUUGAUAUUGAAAGCUCCGGCGGAUAGAGAUGGGCACGCGCAAGAUUAGUUAGUUGGUGAGGUAAACGGCUCACCAAGACGAUGAUCUUUAGGGGCCUGAGAGGGUGAUCCCCCACACUGGUACUGAGACACGGACCAGACUCCUACGGGAGGCAGCAGUGAGGAAUAUUGGUCAAUGGGUGCAAGCCUGAACCAGCCAUCCCGCGUGAAGGACGACUGCCCUAUGGGUUGUAAACUUCUUUGUAUAGGGAUAAACCUACCCUCGUGAGGGUAGCUGAAGGUACUAUACGAAUAAGCACCGGCUAAC